rnacentral:rRNA from 1 species
CCUACGGGAUGCUGCAGUGAGGAAUAUUGGUCAAUGGGCGAGAGCCUGAACCAGCCAAGUAGCGUGAAGGAUGACUGCCCUACGGGUUGUAAACUUCUUUUAUAAAGGAAUAAAGUGAGGCACGUGUGCCUUUUUGUAUGUACUUUAUGAAUAAGGAUCGGCUAACUCCGUGCCAGCAGCCGCGGUAAUACGGAGGAUCCGAGCGUUAUCCGGAUUUAUUGGGUUUAAAUGGAGCGUAGAUGGGUUGUUAAGUCAGUUGUGAAAGUUUGCGGCUCAACCGUAAUAUUGCAUUUGAUACUGGCAGUCUUGAGUACAGUAGAGGUAGGCGGAAUGCGUGGUGUAGCGGUGAAAUGCAUAGAUAUCACGAAGAACUCCGAUUGCGAAGGCAGCUUAC